AUACGUAGGGGGCUAGCGUUAUCCGGAAUUACUGGGCGUAAAGGGUGCGUAGGUGGUUUCUUAAGUCAGAAGUGAAAGGCUACGGCUCAACCGUAGUAAGCUUUUGAAACUAAGAGACUUGAGUGCAGGAGAGGAGAGUAGAAUUCCUAGUGUAGCGGUGAAAUGCGUAGAUAUUAGGAGGAAUACCAGUUGCGAAGGCGGCUCUCUGGACUGUAACUGACACUGAGGCACGAAAGCGUGGGGAGCAAACAGGAUUAGAUACCCGGGUAGUCCACGCCGUAAACGAUGAGUACUAGCUGUCGGGGGUUACCCCCCUCGGUGGCGCAGCUAACGCAUUAAGUACUCCGCCUGGGAAGUACGCUCGCAAGAGUGAAACUCAAAGGAAUUGACGGGG
rnacentral:rRNA from 1 species